rnacentral:ncRNA from 2 species
CCUUCGCGACGUGUUCCAGGUGCCUGGCAGCCCAAGGCUGGCCAGGUGAAACAGGGAAGCCGGUGAGGCGCCGUUGGCGUGCGAGCCCGGCGCUGCCCCCGCAACGGUAAAUGAGUCAAGGUCACGCAUGGCGCCACUGAACCUGGUUCGGUUCGGGAAGGCGCGUGGCCAGGGUGUACACGACCCCGCUCAUGAGUCCGGAGACCGGCCUGAAACCCUUCUUGGCA